rnacentral:snRNA from 1 species
AUACUUACCUGGCAAGGGAGACACCGUGAUCAAGAAGGCGGUUCACCCAGGGCGAGGCUCAGCCACUGCACUCCGGCUGUGCUGAUCCCUGUGAAUUUCCAAAAUGUGGAAAUCUUGAUUGCAUAAUUUCUGGUAGUGGGGGACUGCGUUCGCGCUCUCCCCUG